AGGAACAACGCUGGCGGCGUGCCUAAUGCAUGCAAGUCGGACGGGAGCCUCUUCGGAGGUCGACCGUGGCGGACGGGUGAGGAACACGUGGGAAACCUGCCCAUGGGCGGGGGAUAACCCAGGGAAACCUGGGGUAAGACCCCAUAGACUUGGUUGCUAGUAGGGUGACCAAGCAAAAGCGCAAGCUGCGCAUGGAGGGUCCUGCGGCCUAUCAGCUAGUUGGUGGGUAACGGCCUACCAAGGCGAUGACGGGUAGCUGGUCUGAGAGGACGAUCAGCCACACGGGACUGAGACACGGCCCGACUCCUACGGAGGCAGCAGCAAGGAAUUUCCGCAAUGGCGCAAGCUGACGGAGCGACGCCGCGUGGAGGAUGACCCCCUUCGGGCGUAAAACUCCUUUUACUCAGGGUACGAACACAAUGACGUACCUGAGAAGAAGCACGCUAACACGUGCCAGCAGCCGC
rnacentral:rRNA from 1 species